GUCCCGGGCGGUGUCCCGGGCGGUCCCUUGGGGUCCCGGGCGGUGUCCCGAGCGAGCAACCCGAC
rnacentral:SRP_RNA from 14 species